AACAACAGUAGACGACGACAUAGAUCUUACGUUAUCUCCAUAGCCACCAUUCUCGAGCUUCGUGCCCCCCCCCCCCCCCCGCGUUGCAGUAGUGACCGCUCUUCGAAGUCCUUCCCCCUUCAUUGUUGCUGGGUGCAUAUUCGACGCGAUCCUGGCUCCACAUUCUUCGACCUGUCUUCCAUUUCGGACGUUUGGAUGAGAGCCAUUUUGGCUAUCGGGUUCUUUCUCCGAGCUUCUUGCACUCGGUUUAUUGUAAGGUUAUGACAGUUCUGCCGUUUUUUUGCAGCGCAGAAAUCAGUGUUUUCGUCUGCUGCGUUGCGGAAUCGGUGGAAGUUUUGAAAGACAAGUCUCACGCAAUCUUUAGACUCGUCGAUAUGAGACUCAUGACGGCUAAUUCUCAUGGCAGUAUCUUUUUCUUCUGUUUUUUUCAGUCAUGGAAGUGACAAUUCUGACCUGGCUGUUGGAAUCUCAGGGAGAGGUUACGAUUCGAGAAGAUGUUACGCGUUGUCUCAACGGGAUGCAAUAUUUCUCAAAUGGGGAGAAAGAUUUUUGGCGGUUUUUUGAGGUAAUUCUUCUUCUUCCUUCCGCCAUGAUCGAGUCAACGGCCGAAAAUUUCUCUGUGCAUGUCAUUAAUGUCCUUGUUUGAUCCGAAUUUGCUUUAAGAUUGUGUGAAGGAUACAAGCAGCUGCUGUUAAUUGUGCACUCUACAUGGAAUUAUUAUUUGGAAGGGACUCGCUUCAGGCUCGGGAACGCUUGUCGGAGUCGAUGAGUUUUAUGAUCUGACGUAUUCUAGGGGAGUUUUCUGCGCUGCAAGUAAUGCGCCACAUUCCAACCAAGGAGCGAAACUUAUUUUCUGGAACACUGUAAAAUGAGGCAAAUAUACACAUUGACUGGAACGUAGCUCCUCAAAGUCAGACUGCUAAGUUUUACACACACGAGACUCUGAAACAUGUCAUCGACGUAGCCAAAACAUAUCCCUUCUGACCAAUUAGUUGCAGUGGGUUAGAAAAAAGUCCAUCGGCAAGCUGAAUUAGCGAAUGCGUGAGACCACGAAGACGAGAAAUAAAGAAUCGAGGUUUUUCAUGAGAUUGCCUUGUCUGUUAACAUGGUAAAAUUAAGAAGGCGCUCAUCCCGUGUUCAGGUAAAGGGAGAGCUCCUAAGGUAACAUUUCGCGAGGAUUUGACCAAGUGAAGUCCUAAGCUAAUAGGUGAUCCUCGGGUGAAAAAUCAGAAUGUUUGUUCAAAUUUUCAUCGUUUUCACUUUCUUCGGAGGAAGACGAUGACGACGAAGAAGAGGAAGAAGAUGAAGAUGAAGACUUUCCCCCUCGCGUUUUCUUUUUAUCAAAGUUCUUAUUCUUCUUUUUCUCAGUGGAUGAAACCUUGAGACGCUGCAG
rnacentral:lncRNA from 1 species